rnacentral:lncRNA from 1 species
AGUCUCCAGGUUCUAGGUCAUAAAAGCUUCAGAUCCAAAUGGUAUGCUAGCAUUCUCUUCCUAGCAGUCCACUGUCAAGACUUCACUGUUAGAAGAAGAAUCACACCAGAAUUAAGGUCAAAUGGAUUAUCUUAUUCUUAAUUGCUGAAAAUCACACCUCAUUGAAAUUUGCUUCAUAACUGAACCAUGAAUUUUUCAUCAAACAUACUUUUGUGUUUCUCCUCCUGGCAUUCUUUAUGAGGAACUUCUUUUUGGAGCUCACUGACUUCCUGUUCUAAUUUGGUCCAGUUAUUUUCUAGAAUUGCUACAUGACUGUCAUCCUGGGACAUCCUUCUGUUGGAAUCUGGGAGAGCUUACAACUUUUCAUAUCCUCUCUUCUUCUUUGUGUUUUUCACCCUGAAGUGUACAAAGUCAAAUGAAUUUCCUAGAAAAACUAGUGAGUUAAUAUUUUGAGUCCUUGUGAUAUGGGAGGGGGGCAGGGAAGUGCUGGGUAGAGAAGGGUGGGGUCCCUGGUGAGGGCUCCACUCUCAGGCCUGUGCUCAUGGACCUAAAUGAGGACAGGCAUUUCUGUUUUCAUGCCCCAAAUGUUGCCUUUUGGCCCACCAUGCGCCCCAUCCUGUACCCAUAAAAACCCAAGACUUGAGAAGGCACAGACACAAGUGGCGGGACGUCAAGAGAGCUGAAGAACACAGCAACAGACACCAGCAGACAACAUCAGGCCAUCGAUGGCUGCAUGAUGUGGAAUUUGGCUGGGGGCAGUUGGAGGAGAGUCUGGCUAUUGGGCGACCUGACUCCAGGGGAAGACUACCUUCCCACUCCAUCCCCCUUGGGGCUCCUCAUGCAUCUCACGAGAGCUACCUCCACCACUCAAUAAAACCUUGCACGCAUCCUCCAAGCCCACGUGUGAUCCGACUUCUUGGGUACACUAGGGCAAGAACCCGGGAUACAGAAAGCCCUCUGUCCGUGUGAUAAGGCACAGGGUCUAGUGGAGCUGAUUAACACAAGCCACCUGCAGAAGGCAAAGCUGAAAGAGCACACCACAACACAUGCCCACUGGGGCUUCGGGAGCUGCAAACACUCAACCCUAGACACUGUCGUGGGGUCAGAGCCCCAAAACACUCCCCACGACCUGCUCAUCUGCAUGCUCCCCUCAGGAGUUUGAGCAGCAGGUCACCGAAGAAGCGAGCCACACCCGUUGCAUGCCGUGUGAGGGGGAUAAGGGAACUUCUCCCAUUUCAUCUGAAUAUCUGAAAGUAUCUGUAGUUGGGACUCACGUUUUAUUUAUAAUUUGUCUCGAUAUAGAAGUAAAGGUAUAAUUUCCUAUAGAAAUUUGAAACAUUGUUCCCUUGUCACAUCUUGCUGAUAAAAAACCUUAUGUCAGAUGAUUUUUGGUCUGAUAAUAUAGAAAUUUUGAUUAACUUACUAAAUAAUUAUAUUUCAAUAUGAUUCAUUUGGUAAUAAUUUUAUUUUAUUUUUAUUCUGUCAUGUCUAUUUAAGUUGUAUAAUACUUUCAGAUAUAGAAUUUGACAAAGUUCCUAUGGCAAAUAUGAAGCUGCAUAAAAUCUGCUUCCUGACCCAGAGAACUUGG